AACGAACGCUGGCGGCGCGCCUAAUACAUGCAAGUCGAGCGAGAAGACGUAGCAAUACGUUUGUAAAGCGGCGAACGGGUGAGGAAUACAUGGGUAACCUACCCUCGAGUGGGGAAUAACUAGCCGAAAGGUUAGCUAAUACCGCGUACGCUCCUUGGACUUCGGUUCAGGGAGGAAAGCGAUACCGUGGGUAGUCGCGCUCUUGGAUGGGCGUCAUGUCCUAUCAGCUUGUUGGUGAGGUAACGGCUCACCAAGGCUUCGACGGGUAGCUGGUCUGAGAGGACGAUCAGCCACACUGGCACUGCGACACGGGCCAGACUCCUACGGGAGGCAGCAGUAAGGAAUAUUGCGCAAUGGGCGAAAGCCUGACGCAGCGACGCCGCGUGGGGGACGAAGGUCUUCGGAUUUGUAAAACUCUUUAGCCGAUGAAUAUAAUGACUGUAGUCGGAAAAUAAGCCCCGGCUAACUUCGUGCCAGCAGCCGCCGCUGU
rnacentral:rRNA from 1 species